UACGAAGGGGGCUAGCGUUGCUCGGAAUUACUGGGCGUAAAGCGCACGUAGGCGGCCUUCUAAGUCGGGGGUGAAAUCCUGGAGCUCAACUCCAGAACUGCCUUCGAUACUGGAGAGCUCGAGUCCGGGAGAGGUGAGUGGAACUGCGAGUGUAGAGGUGAAAUUCGUAGAUAUUCGCAAGAACACCAGUGGCGAAGGCGGCUCACUGGCCCGGUACUGACGCUGAGGUGCGAAAGCGUGGGGAGCAAACAGG
rnacentral:rRNA from 1 species